AACGCGUUUGUUUUCAAGAUAGUGAUGACCUUUGGGCUGGUGUACACAGUGUAUGCAACGGCGGUGGACCCAAAGAAGGGAAGCUUAGGGACUAUAGCACCCUUAGCGAUUGGUUUCAUUGUGGGAGCCAACAUUUUGGCCGAUGGAGCUUUCGAUGGGGCGUCGAUGAACCCGACUGUCUCUUUCGGACCGGCGUUGGUGAGCUGGACAUGGACAAACCAUUGGGUGUACUGGGCUGGUCCACUGAUCGGAGGAGGCCUUGCUUGGGCAUUAUAUCUGAGUUGAUCUGGACCACUAAAUUUGACAUGAGACCUAAAAGGGAAAAUUCCCAUCUAUCCAAUAACUUUUAAGUAACUAAAUCAUCCAUCCAGAAGAAACAGCAUGUAGCAUUGGAUUAUUCCAGCACUAUUAGACCCAAAAGCCUUUUUUCCUAAAAUAUUAUGCAAAAAAAAAGAAGAAAAUGGGAUAAUAGUAAAAGAAUAAGGG